rnacentral:rRNA from 1 species
GACGUAGGGUCCAAGCGUUGUCCGGAUUUACUGGGCGUAAAGAGCGCGUAGGCGGCUCGGUAAGUGUGAAGUGAAAUCUCUAGGGCUCAACCCAGAAACUGCUUUACAUACUGCCAAGCUGGAGUGAUGAAGAGGUUUGUGGAAUUCCUGGUGUAGCGGUGAAAUGCUUAGAUAUGACAUAGAACACCAAUUGCGAAGGCAGCUCGUUACGACGAAUAUUGACUCUGAGGCUCGAAAGCGUGGGGAUCAAACAGG